rnacentral:rRNA from 1 species
AUCGAACGCUGGCGGCAGGCUUAACACAUGCAAGUCGAGCGGGGUGAUGGUGCUUGCACUAUCACUUAGCGGCGGACGGGUGAGUAAUGCUUAGGAAUCUGCCUAUUAGUGGGGGACAACAUCUCGAAAGGGAUUCUAAUACCGCAUACGUCCUACGGGAGAAAGCAGGGGAUCACUUGUGACCUUGCGCUAAUAGAUGAGCCUAAGUCGGAUUAGCUAGUUGGUGGGGUAAGGCCUACCAAGGCGACGAUCUGUAGCGGGUCUGAGAGGAUGAUCCCCCACACUGGGACUGAGACACGGCCCAGACUCCUACGGGAGGCAGCAGUGGGGAAUAUUGGACAAUGGGGGGAACCCUGAUCCAGCCAUGCCGCGUGUGUGAAGAAGGCCUUAUGGUUGUAAAGCACUUUAAGCGAGGAGGAGGCUCUUUUGGUUAAUACCCAAGAUGAGUGGACGUUACUCGCAGAAUAAGCACCGGCUAACUCUGUGCCAGCCGCCGCCGUAA